rnacentral:lncRNA from 1 species
ACGGCGUGUGUGCAGCGACACCUGGCGGUGGCAUGCGGAACUGCGGACGGCUGCGCAGGAGCGGACAGCGGAGAGGCGGUACUGAACGGUGCGAGGCGGUGCUGACCGGUGCGGACCGGUGCAGGCCGGUGCGGGCCAGUGCAGGCCAGGCCUGGCCGGGGGAAGGCAGGUGGCCGGGUCCGAGGACCGCGUCGCACAGCAGCUUCCAGGACCUGGAGAGAAAUCGAGUGAAGAAGGGAAGUCACUUGCUUCAUGGCCAGGGAAGGGCUCCAGCAAGACAUGGGCUCCUGAAAGUGACAGUGUGUGAAGGCCCGGAGAGGCACAGGACCUGUGGAGGAUGCCAAGGUAAACUUGGUAGCCACAUGUCAAAGAUGGAGGUGCACAAAAUGGGAGGAGCCUAGAUCCCUGAAUGACUUUGUGGAGCUGAGCCCCUGGGCCACCCUGCAUUGGAUGUGACAUGAGUGAGAAAUAAACCUUUGGAGUUUCAAUCCACUGUGAUCUGGGGGAUCUUUGUUACAGGAUUAAUUUAUUUUGACGCAUACACACUUCUCUUGGCCCCCUCCAAGCCUGGAUGCUCUUUAAAAGUCUUGUUAAUCUUCUGUGGAAAACUUGUGGCUGGUCCCAGCUGAAUGGAGCUUCAUGGGUGAGUCCAGGCAAGACCAGCCAGAAACCUACCUGUAUUUGCUGACUAACAGAAUAGAAAGUAAUGCCCCUCGCCCUCCUUGGAUUGCAGCAAGGAAAGAGGUGUGUCUUCCGCAGAAAAAUGUGCAUGUUCUUUUAGUGUGUGGCCUCGGAGCAAGGUAUUUAGCCUGCCUCUAUGUGCUCACCUGGAAAAUGGGGUGAUGAAGAAGAUGAUGAUGAUAAUGGCAACUCCCUCUUGGAGCUGCUGUGCAGAUGAAGUGAGUGAAUAUAAGAUGGAUGCUUAGAGCAGUGCACGGAAGAGCUGUGCUGUUUGUUAUUAUCUUCUAGGGGAAACACAAGAAAACCAACUUAGGGAGGAGGCAGCCUGUCCUGGAAGGGGAGGUCCUCACAAAGAACACUGACUCCAGCCAGCUCCUAUCUUCAGGCCAAAGUCCCAGCCCAGGGUUUGCUGUGAGGAAGGUAGCUAUGACAACAGCACAUGGUGAUGGAGCAAGACCACUACAUUCCAGUGGGGUCCUGUUGUCUGGGGAGCCCCUGAGCUCAAGGUCUGACCUCUACUCCCUAGUUCCAGAGGGACUAGCAACUGUUGAUGGCAAACUGAGGACACCCAACACCAAGCUGACACUUUGGCCGGGAAGUAAUCAAAAGGACUAAAAAGAUUUGGACAGGAAAUCCUCUCCUCAUCCUGGUCCUGGUGUAUAGCAGCAUUGCCAUUCCAACAGUGGUAUAAGUCCACACUUUGGGAAACCCUCAUCUAGUCCAACAACCCUGGCACUUUAAAGAUGGCCUGCAAAAAGAUUAUGACUUGCUGAAAACUCAGAUGGUUUUUUUAAAGCAUCUUUUAGCAAUAAAAGUAUUUUUAAAUUAAGGUAUGUACAUUUGUAGACAUAAUGCUAUUGCACACUUAAUAGACUACGGUAUAAAGGUAUAAUGUAAACAUAACUUUUAUAUGCACUGGAAAACCAAAAAGUUUGUGUGAUUUGCUUUAUUGUGAUAUUUGCUUUAUUGCAGUGGUCUGGAAUUAAACCUGCAAUAUCUUUUAUGUAUGCCUUUAUUUACCAUUUCUGGUGUUUUUCAUUUCUUUCUGCAGAUUUUAGUAACUCUCUGAAGUCAUUUCUUUUUAGUUGGGUAGACUUCUUAGAGAACUUCUUCUAAGUAUCUCACAAGAGUGCAAUAAGCUACCCAGACAUAGGAAAUCAGGCUUAAGAGUAAAAACGAGAAUAAAAAACUGGACAGAGACAUCAGAAGGCACACUGUGUAAGGGAGACAGAUAUCACACUUUUAACCAGAAAAGUGGGCAAGUUUUGAGUUCAACCUGAGGCCUCAAGGAUGUGUGCAACCCAUGGUACUUGAAUUUACUUAUUGACUGUUUUUUUGGAAAUCCUUAUUUCCCAAAACUCGUGGAAGGAGCUGACUUCUGGCAGGAAAUGUGGAACUGGCAGCGUGUCGUGCAAGCAUCUGCAAUCCCAGUCCUGAGCUGGACUUCUCAGAGAGGCUGGGCAUUAUUUAUGGAGAUGUCGGAGUGACAGGGGAACUUCUGGCCAGGAACUGCCGGUGGUGUCACAUCCUUAACCUGGCUGACAUCGGAACACCCUGGGGGGAGCAUUUCUCCAGGAAAGGAUGGUGGGUCAGGAGCCCGCAUGGUGUCUUUUCAAAGCAAUAAUAAAGAUAUCAGAAGGGCAAUCUGUCAGGCACAGACACUACUGGGCCUUGCUGAAGCUCGGCAGAUGGUGCAGAGGAGAAGAACAGGGCUGGGAACCAGAUGUUUCAUUUCCUGAAAAUAGACAUGUCAGGUCUUCGGGGCUGUCAGAUGCCCCCUCAUUAGCCCAUCAGCCUAAAUGGAGCCAUUGAGCACUGACAUCUCACUCAGCUGUGGCACCUGGCAGAGGACCCAGGCCCAGAGCUGUCCAGCCUGGGGCCCUGGCCUGGGGUCUGAAAAGGCCGGGAAGGGGCAGCUACAGUGGACAGUCCUUUCCCCUCUACAGAUGAGGAAACUGAGGCCAAGAGAGGGGACGGUGCUUCAAAGGGUGGCAGCGAUUCAAUGGCAGAGAUGGAAUGGACCAGGUUUCAGCUCAGGGGUUCAUAGAAUUUCAGUGCUCAGAGUCUUUGGGAACCCACACGAGAGGGCUUCUGGUUGGUUCAGAUGCUCCUGAGUUGUUCUGGAGCUGCCCUGCCCCUUCCUAUUUUUGCCAUAUCCUUGGGAGACUUGUCUUUGGGCUCAUCUUACUUCAAGCACACUCACGUUUUUCCACUUAAGCAAAUGGAAACUUGAUAAACUGCCUUCAACAACAACAACAACCCCAAACCCAGCAUCACACACCAUACAUGCAAGACAGUGUGUGAUGAACACACUGAACAAUGAACCCAGUGAUUUCUAAGGAGUGGUGAUGAAUGCUGGCGAGCAUGUGUCUCAGGAUGCCAAGCCUGAGGUCCAUUCCCUUGGCUAAUAAAGGUGGUGGGCGGACAUUGGAGGGCACUAGAGACAGGCUGGCAGCAACCGAGACCUUCCCUAUGCAGCAGUCAGCGGGAGGAGGAGAUCAUGGACCUUCUCGUCAGGCAGGUUCACAUUACUUAGUGUUCUGGUCCCAUCUAAUGGCAUAUUUUGGGAAACUUGGGGAACCCAGGCCCAAAGAAGAGGGGGCAAGUGCUUAAAGACCCACAGCAGGAGGCUGGUUCUGAAAGACUCAUGGCUAGGGGGCUGGCUCCGCUUUCUAGAGACCACCAGGGGCUGGUGACCACACAGAGAGACACACAGACAGACACACAGAUACCGACACACACAGACACAGUCACGCACACACAGAGACACAUCCACGGAAGCACACAGAUGCACACACAUGCACACAGACACACACA